rnacentral:misc_RNA from 1 species
UUGAAUCCACAGGAUGUCGCUGGCCUCCCCCAAAGGGUGGCAUGUGCACUCCGCCUUCAACCCACCUGUGCACUUUUCGUAGGUCAAAGAGGGGAAACCCCCUUUGCCUAUGCUUUUUUUACACACACUUUAGUAUCAGAAUGUAACAAAGUAGACCUUCAGGUCGAAAUAAUAAUA